GAUGAACGCUAGCUACAGGCUUAACACAUGCAAGUCGAGGGGCAGCGCAGUGUAGCAAUACAUGGGCGGCGACCGGCGCACGGGUGCGUAACGCGUACCCAACCUUCCCGUUACUCAGGGAUAGCCUUCCGAAAGGGAGAUUAAUACCUGAUGGUGUUUGAAUUCCGCAUGUUAUUCAAACUAAAGAUUUAUCGGUAACGGAUGGGGAUGCGUGACAUUAGAUAGUAGGCGGGGUAACGGCCCACCUAGUCUACGAUGUCUAGGGGUUCUGAGAGGAAGGUCCCCCACACUGGAACUGAGACACGGUCCAGACUCCUACGGGAGGCAGCAGUGAGGAAUAUUGGUCAAUGGCCGGAAGGCUGAACCAGCCAAGUAGCGUGAAGGAUGAAGGUUCUAUGGAUUGUAAACUUCUUUUAUACGGGAAUAAAACCUCCCACGUGUGGGAGCUUGUAUGUACCGUAUGAAUAAGCAUCGGCUAACUCCGUGCCAGCAGCCGCAGUAACAC
rnacentral:rRNA from 1 species